GGAGACGGAUUCUGAGACACGAGUCCGGGCCCUACGGGGCGCAGCAGGCGCGAAACCUUUACAACUGCACGACAGUGCGAUAGGGGGACACCGAAUGCGAGGGCAUAGAGCCCUCGCUUUUGUAGACCGUAAGGAGGUCUACGAAUAAGGGCUGGGCAAGACCGGUGCCAGCCGCCGCGGUAACACCGGCAGCCCAAGUGAUGGCCGAUAUUAUUGGGCCUAAAGCGUCCGUAGCUGGCCGCGCAAGUUCGUCGGGAAAUCCACUCGCUUAACGAGUGGGCGUCCGGCGAAAACUGUGCGGCUUGGGACCGGAAGAUCCAAGGGGUACGUCCGGGGUAGGAGUGAAAUCCCGUAAUCCUGGACGGACCACCGAUGGCGAAAGCACCUUGGAAGGACGGAUCCGACAGUGAGGGACGAAAGCUAGGGUCUCGAACCGGAUUAGAUACCCGGGUAGUCCUAGCCGUAAACGAUGCUCGCUAGGUGUGGCGCAGGCUACGAGCCUGCGCUGUGCCGUAGGGAAGCCGUGAAGCGAGCCGCCUGGGAAGUACGUCUGCAAGGAUGAAACUUAAAGGAAUUGGCGGGGGAGCACUACAACCGGAGGAGCCUGCGGUUUAAUUGGACUCAACGCCGGACAUCUCACCAGCUCCGACAGCAGUAAUGACAGUCAGGUUGAUGACCUUACUCGACGCUGCUGAGAGGAGGUGCAUGGCCGCCGUCAGCUCGUACCGUGAGGCGUCCUGUUAAGUCAGGCAACGAGCGAGACCCGCACCUCUAGUUGCCAGCAGCAUCUCGCGAUGGCUGGGUACACUAGGGGGACUGCCGUCGCCAAGACGGAGGAAGGAACGGGCAACGGUAGGUCAGUAUGCCCCGAAUGAGCUGGGCGACACGCGGGCUACAAUGGUCGAGACAGUGGGAUGCGACACCGAGAGGUGAAGCUAAUCUCCUAAACUCGAUCGUAGUUCGGAUUGCGGGCUGAAACCCGCCCGCAUGAAGCUGGAUUCGGUAGUAAUCGCGUGUCAGAAGCGCGCGGUGAAUACGUCCCUGCCCCUUGCACACAA
rnacentral:rRNA from 1 species